CCCUUAGAUGUUCUGGGCCGCACGCGCGCUACACUGACGAUGGCAACGAGUUUUUCCUUCGCCGAAAGGUGUGGGUAAUCUUUUGAAACAUCGUCGUGCUGGGGAUAGAUCAUUGCAAUUUUUGAUCUUGAACGAGGAAUUCCUAGUAAGCGCGAGUCAUCAGCUCGCGUUGAUUACGUCCCUGCCCUUUGUACACACCGCCCGUCGCUCCUACCGAUUGAAUGGUCCGGUGAAAUCUUCGGAUUGCUGACCAAGAUCCAGCAAUGGAGCUUGGUUGCGAGAAGUUGAUUAAACCUUAUUAUUUAGAGGAAGGAGAAGUCGUAACA
rnacentral:rRNA from 1 species